GACGAAGCCGUGCGAACGUUGUUCGGAAUUACUGGGCUUAAAGGGCGCGUAGGCGGGCGAUCAAGUCCGGGGUGAAAGCCUCCAGCUUAACUGGAGAAGUGCCUCGGAUACUGAUUGUCUUGAGGAGGGUAGGGGCAUCUGGAACUAGCGGUGGAGCGGUGAAAUGCGUUGAUAUCGCUAGGAACUCCGGUGGCGAAGGCCGAGGUGCUGGACCCUUUCUGACGCUGAGGCGCGGAAAGCCAGGGGAGCGAACGGG
rnacentral:rRNA from 1 species